AGGCCCAUCUUGCUACAUGCUCAAAUCUUGACCCAACCAGGAAACCCUAGUUUCUCAUCCGCGAAGAUGGUUAGGCAGCGAAUAAUGAUCUGAUUUAGCAAGGAUCUGUUUGUUUGGGAUUGUCGACAUAGCAAGACGAUUAAGUGGACUCUUCACAAAUGUCUUCACCGCAAAGUGAGACAGGGGAGAGGUCAUCAGCAAAUCUC